rnacentral:piRNA from 1 species
AAAUUGUGUAAAUUGUGCUGCUAAGAAUG